AGAGUUUGAUUCUGGCUCAGGAUGAACGCUGGCGGCGUGCCUAACACAUGCAAGUCGAACGGAAGCUUAACGCUGACGAGACUUCGGUCAAAUCUUGUUAAGCUUUAGUGGCGGACGGGUGAGUAACGCGUGGGCAACCUGCCUCGUACUGGGGGAUAACAGCUGGAAACGACUGUUAAUACCGCAUAAGCGCACGGUACCGCAUGGUACAGUGUGAAAAACUCCGGUGGUACGAGAUGGGCCCGCGUCAGAUUAGCCAGUUGGUGGGUAACGGCCUACCAAAGCAACGAUCUGUAGCCGGACUGAGAGGUCGGACGGCCACAUUGGGACUGAGACACGGCCCAAACUCCUACGGGAGGCAGCAGUGGGGGAUAUUGCACAAUGGGCGAAAGCCUGAUGCAGCGACGCCGCGUGAGUGAAGAAGUAUUUCGGUAUGUAAAGCUCUAUCAGCAGGGAAGAAAGACCCGCAAGGGAGAUGACGGUACCUGACUAAGAAGCCCCGGCUAACUACGUGCCAGCCGCUGC
rnacentral:rRNA from 1 species